UAACAUCAUAAUUACAUAUGGUGCAAGCACAGUGAGGUCAAACAAUGUAACAGUGAGUUUUAAAGGCAUCACACUCCCACCCAGUGACAUGUACUAAGAGGUGGGCCAUAGAGAAUGAUAGAGGCCUCUAGCAGCCAAAAUGCAGUUUUAGCAUGAGCAGUGCCAUUGAGGGAUUCCACCCUUUUAAAAUAGUCAACUGGGUGGAGAUUCCUAUGGGUUGUAGCCUCUAUCUGGCUCUGGUUAGGAGGAUUAGGUUAAGGUCAGGGAAAGAGUUAGCUAAAAACUAUCAACGUUUGAUGGCACUGCCCCCAGAAUAAGUAUAUCGCAGGUGCAGAACAUAAAUGAACCAGUCUCCUCUCUGUUGGGAGUCGAUCAAUGAGAAACUGCUUUGUGACAAAAGACUGACAUCUGAAAUGUCUUCACCUCUGGUGCCCCACCCAAUGAAAAGCUUUCUGGGCAACCCUGAGGAGAGUGACCCCCUGAUGAGAUGGAGAAUUGGUUCGCCCUCUGUAUCUCAGAUACACUUGACCCAGGGGUUGGUGAAGGCAGGGCCACCUUCUGUUGACAGAGAGGAGUCCAGUUCAGCUACACAGGAAAUGUGUUCGUUGAUGCAGAAAAACCUGCUUUUCUAAGCACUGCCCUCCGAAUAGUAGAUUGAUGCACACAAAGAAGUCUCUCCUAUUGUGAGUGGAGAAAGGAGAGGAAGUGUAUGAGGUAAACCGUGCUUUAGGACAAGACCAAUAUCCAGAGACAUUCAGACGGGGGAAUACUGGUAUAUCUGAGAUGGCAAAGCCUCCACCUCUGGUGUCCCACCCCAGGAACAUCUGUAUGGGCAAGCCUGAGGAGAGUGAUCCCCAGAGGAGAUGGAGUUAUGGUCCCUCUCCCCCAGACCCAUCUGUCCCAGGGCUUGGUGAAGGCAGACCUCCACCUCCAGUGCCCCACCCCAGGAAAAUCAAUAUGAGCAAGCCUGAGGAGAGUAAGCCCCAGAGGAGAUGGAGCUAUGGUCAGUAUUCAAAGUCAGUAUUCAAUGUCUGAGGAUGUUGGGAAAUGAAGUGGAACCUGGCCACUAGGGGCAACAGUGAGCGCUGUUACUUUCAAGAAGGUUUCAGUUUUACUAGGGCGUUGGGGAUGGCGUAAGCAUCUGCCCCUGAUGCCAAAGGCUUCAUGUUCGAAUCCAACAAUAGUCAUUUUCUGUAUUUUAGUUUUAAGCCAUAACCAUUCAGAGUGAAUGCCUAACCUUAAACCAUUCAGAGUGAAUGCCUAACCUUAAACCAUUCAGAGUGAAUGCCUAACCUUAAACCAUUCAGAGUGA